UCAGAGAAGAAGAUUAAUGGUCCUAGAAUG
rnacentral:piRNA from 1 species